rnacentral:rRNA from 1 species
GAGGAAGGUGGGGAUGACGUCAAGUCAUCAUGCCCCUUAUGUCCAGGGCUACACACGUGCUACAUUGGCGCGUACAGAGGGCUGCAAGACCGCGAGGUGGAGCGAAUCCCUUAAAGCGCGUCUCGGUUCGGAUUGCAGGCUGAAACUCGCCUGCAUGAAGGCGGAGUUGCUAGUAAUCGCGGAUCAGCAUUGCCGCGGUGAAUACGUUCCCGGGCCUUGUACACACCGCCCGUCACACCACGGGAGUGAGCAACACCCGAAGCCGGUGGCCUAACCCGCAAGGGAGGGAGCCGUCGAAGGUGGGGCUCGUGACUGGGGUGAAGUCGUAACAAGGUAGCCGUAA